rnacentral:snoRNA from 1 species
GCCAGCAGACAAUGCGUCGUUUCUCGUUCACACGCGUGUCGGCAUUGCACAGCAAGCAGCGGCACCAUG